GACGAACGCUGGCGGCGCGCUUAACACAUGCAAGUCGAACGGAAAGGCCUGCUUUCCCUUGUGGAUUGCGGGUACUCGAGUGGUGAACGGGUGAGUAACACGUGAGUGAUCUGCCCCCAACUUGGGUAUAAGCCUGGGAAACUGGGUCUAAUUCCCGAUAGGACUGCAGGGUGGUGCCUGUGGUGGAAAACGAUUUUCUAGUGGUUGGGGAUGAGCUCGCGGCCUAUCAGCUUGUUGGUGGGGUAAUGGCCUACCAAGGCGGCGACGGGUAGCCGGCCUGAGAGGGUGGACGGCCACAUUGGGACUGAGAUACGGCCCAGACUCCUACGGGAGGCAGCAGUGGGGAAUAUUGCACAAUGGGCGGAAGCCUGAUGCAGCGACGCCGCGUGGGGGAUGACGGCCUUCGGGUUGUAAACUCCUUUCGACCGCGAGGAAGCCACCUGGUUGGAAGGGUGGUGACGGUAGUGGUAGAAGAAGCACCGGCUGACUACGUG
rnacentral:rRNA from 1 species